rnacentral:lncRNA from 1 species
CCUGCAGCACUGCGCAUCGGCCUGUAUUUACGUUUCUUCCGAGGAUGCUCUGAAGGCGUGUGUUUGGGUUUAAAUGAAAUCAGGUUUGGGACAGUCAUUCUGUGCUUUGCAAUAAAUGCAGUGCAAAAUCAUGUAAAUUACAUAAGGCCAACUACUUUUCCUGAAGACAAAGAAUACUGGGCCAUGUGUUUGCAGCCUGAGCUCCAUCCAUGCAGAGCUCAUCCCUGAGCCUGUCCUGUUGCUGCGGGCUCCCCAUCUGCAGAACAGCGCUGGCUUCUGGAUAUUGCAGCCAAGAACUGAGGAGAAGAGCAAGAGAGAGAUGCAGUGACAGUACAGGAGCAAAGCAGAGUCUGAAAAGCCAGUGGAGGAAGAGGUUGAUGUGGUACUUGUGUUAUGAAAAAAGUAUCCUGUCUUGUCACCCUUGGCACAUAUUUUGCUCCCCAGAGUGGAAUAGUGCUUCAUUAUACUCAGAUACAAGGCAAAGAACCACCUUGGUCAAACCCAAGAAGUCAAAACCACCUACACUGAUAGCAGCCGUGUAUGUAAUAUAA